rnacentral:rRNA from 2 species
AAAUGCGAUACCUAGUGUGAAUUGCAGAAUUCCGUGAAUCAUCGAGUUUUUGAACGCAAGUUGCGCCUGAGGCUCGUACCGAGGGCAUGUCUGUCUGAGCGUCCA